AGUGAACGCUGGCGGUAGGCCUAACACAUGCAAGUCGAACGGCAGCACAGUAAUUUCUUGCUCUUACGGGUUGCGAGUGGCGUACGUGUGAGGAAUACAUCGUAAUCUACUUUUUCGUGUGGGUUAACGUAGGUAAACUUACUCUAAUACCGCAUACUCCCUUCCGUUGAAAGCAUUGGAUCUUCUCACCUUGCGCGAUUGAAUGAGCCGAUUUCGGAUUAGCUAGUUGGCGGGUUAAAGGCCCACCAAGUCGACGAUCCGUAGAUGGUCUGAGAGGAUGAUAAGCAACACUGGAACUGAGACAGGGACAAGACGACUACGGGAGGCAGCAGUGGGGAAUAUUGGACAAUGGGCGCAAGCAUGAUACAGCAAUACCGAGUGGGUGAAGAAGGCGUUCGGGUUGUAAAGACAUUUUGUUGGGAAAGAAAAGCAGCAGGUUAAUACCAAGCUGUAGUGACGGUAACGAAAGAAUAAGCACCGGCUAACUACGUG
rnacentral:rRNA from 1 species